AAGCCUAUAACAUAACGCCAAUAAAUUAAAAGCAUUAGUGAAUAAAUAAAUAAUGAAUCAUAUCAUGAUAAAAGAAAUAUUUACCAUGAAGGCCCAUGAAAAACCAUAUAAGUUGACUGUUUGUGGCAUUAACGGAGUCAACAAAUAUUCGACAGUCAUUUUGAAGCUUUCAUAACCCCAAGGAUAGUUGUUAAAUGCCUCAAGAUCCUCGGAGAGAUUUAUUAAAAUGAGGCUUAUGUUGUUGUUAACGUCUCUCGCCC
rnacentral:lncRNA from 1 species